rnacentral:rRNA from 1 species
UUUUAUUUGAGAGUUUGAUCCUGGCUCAGGAUGAACGCUGGCGGCGUGCCUAACACAUGCAAGUUGAGCGAUUUACUUCGGUAAAGAGCGGCGGACGGGUGAGUAACGCGUGGGUAACCUACCCUGUACACACGGAUAACAUACCGAAAGGUAUGCUAAUACGGGAUAAUAUAUUUGAGAGGCAUCUCUUGAAUAUCAAAGGUGAGCCAGUACAGGAUGGACCCGCGUCUGAUUAGCUAGUUGGUAAGGUAACGGCUUACCAAGGCGACGAUCAGUAGCCGACCUGAGAGGGUGAUCGGCCACAUUGGAACUGAGACACGGUCCAAACUCCUACGGGAGGCAGCAGUGGGGAAUAUUGCACAAUGGGCGAAAGCCUGAUGCAGCAACGCCGCGUGAGUGAUGAAGGCCUUCGG